rnacentral:rRNA from 1 species
CCUACGGGAGGCCGCAGUGAGGAAUAUUGGUCAAUGGACGAGAGUCUGAACCAGCCAAGUAGCGUGAAGGAUGACUGCCCUAUGGGUUGUAAACUUCUUUUAUAAAGGAAUAAAACGAGGCACGUGUGCCUUUUUGCAUGUACUUUAUGAAUAAGGAUCGGCUAACUCCGUGCCAGCAGCCGCGGUAAUACGGAGGAUCCGAGCGUUAUCCGGAUUUAUUUGGUUUAAAGGGAGCGUAGAUGGGUUGUUAAGUCAGUUGUGAAAGUUUGCGGCUCAACCGUAAAAUUGCAAUUGAUACUGGCAGUCUUGAGUACAGUUGAGGUAGGCGGAAUUCGUGGUGUAGCGGUGAAAUGCUUAGAUAUCACGAAGAACCCCGAUUGCGAAGGCAGCUUACUAAACUGUGACUGACAUUGAUGCUCGAAAGUGUGGGUAUCAAACAGGAUUAGAUACCCCUGUAGUC